GGAGUCCGGGCGGAGUCCCCCUUGAGGUUGGAGUCGUGGGCUGAGCCCGGCUCCGGUAGGAGUCCGGGCAGAGUCCUCUCAGAGUUGAUGUUGCGGGCAGAGCCCGGCUCCCGUAGGAGUCCGGGCGGAGUCCUCCUGCAAUUAAAGUUAGGUGCGAAGUCCGGCUCCCGUAGGAGUCCGGACGGAUCUUACCGGCGGUUGAAGUUGGCGACGGAGCCCAGCUCCCGUAGGAGUCCGGGCGGAAUCCCCCCUGAGGUUGGAGUCGAUUCUGCUGAGAACUUCGGCUUUGGGUAUUUUAUACCCAACAGAUAGCAAACAGAAGCCAAGGGCCACUGGUCUGCUCCAAAAUGACUAAAAUAACUUGCUACUCGCAUUUGUGAAAGAUAUCUACUCUGAGCGAGCCACAAUGCUCGCUCAC
rnacentral:lncRNA from 1 species